rnacentral:rRNA from 1 species
UGGGGAAUUUUGGACAAUGGGCGAAAGCCUGAUCCAGCAAUGCCGCGUGUGUGAAGAAGGCCUUCGGGUUGUAAAGCACUUUUGUCCGGAAAGAAAUCCUUGGCUCUAAUACAGUCGGGGGAUGACGGUACCGGAAGAAUAAGCACCGGCUAACUACGUGCCAGCAGCCGCGGUAAUACGUAGGGUGCAAGCGUUAAUCGGAAUUACUGGGCGUAAAGCGUGCGCAGGCGGUUUGCUAAGACCGAUGUGAAAUCCCCGGGCUCAACCUGGGAACUGCAUUGGUGACUGGCAGGCUAGAGUAUGGCAGAGGGGGGUAGAAUUCCACGUGUAGCAGUGAAAUGCGUAGAGAUGUGGAGGAAUACCGAUGGCGAAGGCAGCCCCCUGGGCCAAUACUGACGCUCAUGCACGAAAGCGUGGGGAGCAAAACAGGAUUAGAUACCCUGGUAGUCCGCGCCCUAAAACGAUGUCAACUAGUUGUUGGGGAUUCAUUUCCUUAGUAACGUAGCUAACGCGUGAAGUUGACCGCCUGGGGAGUACGGUCGCAAGAUUAAAACUCAAAUGAAUUGACGGGGUCAUAGCUGUUUCCU